rnacentral:snRNA from 1 species
ACAUUGUUCUCUGCCUUUUGGCUAAGAUUAAGUGUAGUAUUAUUCUUAUUAUUAGUAUAAUAUUGUUUUUAUUAGUAUAAUAUUGUUCUUAUUAGUAUAAUAUUUGAUAUGUGGAUCAUUGAUUCACACGAUAUUAAUUUAAUUUUUUGAGGGGGAGUGUUCUCUAUGGUAGUUUGCUAUCAGUACUUUCGAGAGUGUCGUCUUGGCAUUACACUACAGCCUUGGCCUGGCGCACCCCCA